UACGGGGGAGCAAGCGUUGUUCGGAUUUACUGGCGUAAAGGGCGCGUAGGCGGUCAGCACAAGUCAGUUGUGAAAUCUCCGGGCUUAACUCGGAAAGGUUCAACUGAUACUGUGCGACUAGAGUGCAGAAGGGGCAACUGGGAAUUCUCGGGUGUAGCGGUGAAAUGCGUAGAAUAUCGAGAGGAACACCUGCGGCGAAGGCGGGUAGCUGGGCCGAAGCACUGACGUGAUGCGCGAAAGCCAGGGGAGCGAACAGG
rnacentral:rRNA from 1 species